CGCACCUUGCGCUCCUUGGUAUUCCGAGGAGCAUGCCUGUUUGAGUGUCAUGGUAUUCUCAACUCUUACCUGCUUUGUGCAGGCUGGAGCUGGAUGUGGAGGCUUUUGCUGGUGUUUGACAUCGGCUCCUCUGAAAUGCAUUAGUGUGGACAUUUUCCAAGUGGCCCCUCAGUGUGAUAAUUGUCGGCACUGUGGGCCUAGGAACUGUGAAGUCUGCGCUUCAAACCGUCUCAUAGUGGGACAAUUUUUUUUGACAUCUGACCUCAAAUCAGGUAGGACUACCCGCUGAACUUAA
rnacentral:misc_RNA from 1 species